UCCGAAGGAAAUUCCUUCGAAUUUCCGAAGGAAAUUCCUUCAAUUUCGAAGGAAAUUGCUUCGAAUUUCGAAGGAAAUUCCUUCGAAUUUCGAAGGAAAUUCCUUCGAAUUUCGAAGGAAAUUCCUUCGAAUUUCGAAGGAAAUUCCUUCGAAUUUCGAAGGAAAUUCCUUCGAAUUUUCGAAGGAAAUUCUUCGAAUUUCGAAGGAAAUUCUUCGAAUUUCGAAGGAAAUUCUUCAAUUUCGAAGGAAAUUCCUUCG